CCAGAGACUCUUCCCAACCACGCACACAUAAACCAACACAGCCUUAGGCACAACAUCCACCACAACACAAACUAGACAAUUGUUUCUUGUUGUCUCCAGUGCCGGAGGAGAUGGAAGCGGCGAUUGGCCUGGCAAGCGGGCUCAUCGACAGCAUACUGACUCUGCUUUCCAAUGAGCUCGUCGGGGCGUAUGUUGCUAGCACUGAGCUCGGCCUCAACUCCAAGCAGAUAAAGCGUGAUCUAAUGUUCACGCAAGGUCUGUUGCAUGAGGCCCAGAGGAGUGGCGUGGGAGACAACCACGCUCUGCAAGGGUUAAUCCAGGAGCUCAGCGCCAAGGCCGAUAAGGCCGAGGACGCACUAGAUGAGCUCCACUAUUUCAUCAUCCAGGAUGAUCUUGAUGGCACAAAGGAUGCGGUGCCAGAUUUGGGUGAUGACCUUCAGGGUCAUGCUCGCCAUGGUCGCCAUGCUCUUAGCCACACUAUUGGUAACUGCUUUGCAUGGUUUUCUUGUUCGCAUAUGCAUGGUGAUGAUGUUACUAAUAAUCCACAUGAUGCAACAAAUCCUAGUAGUGAUGGUCCAAUUGAUAGGCUACCAUUUCAUAGAGUGGACAUGUCCAAGAAAAUCAAGUCAGUGAUUCAGGAGAUACACUCUUUAUGUGGACCCGUGUCCGAAUUGCUCAAGAUAAUUCAGCGCGGUAGCAACAACACUCCAAUUUUCACCCUAAAACGACCUCUUAUAGGAUCAACCAGUGUACAAGAUACAUUGUUUGGAAGGAGAAAUCUUUUUGAGCAAACUAUAAAAGGUAUCAUCACAAAUAUUAGUGAGACCCUUUCUGUUAUUCCUAUAGUUGGUCCGGGGGGUAUUGGAAAGACAACCUUCACCCAACACCUAUACAAUGAUGAAAGGACUCAAGAGCACUUUCCUAUUAGGGUUUGGGUCUGUGUAUCAAGUGAUUUUGAUGUGCUUAAGGUUAGCCAAGAGAUUCUUAGUGGCAUAGAAAGAAACAAAACCGCAAAUCAAUCAACAAGUUUAGAUCAGCUCCAAAUAUCCAUCACGCAGGGGCUCAAGACUAAAAGGUUUUUAAUUGUCUUGGAUGAUAUAUGGGAAUGCAAUAGCCAAGGUUGGGAAAGCCUGCUAGCUCCACUCAUGAAGGGCGAAGCCAAGGGUAGCAUGGUUCUUGUCACGACUCGGUUCCCAUCUAAAGCUGCUAUUGUUAAAACAACUUACCCAAUAGCAUUGAAAGGCCUUGGGCCCGUUGAGUUCUUCACAUUCUUUGAAUCAUUUAUAUUUGGUGGACAAAAACCUGAGGGUUACCAUGAUGACUUGACUCAUAUUGCAAGAGAUAUUGCCAGGAAGUUGAAGGGUUCACCUCUGGCAGCCAAAACAGUUGGUCGGAUAUUGAAGAAGGAUCUAUCUCGGGAAUAUUGGAUGAGAGUUCUUGAAAACAAUGAAUGGCAAAAAGAAAAAAAUGAUGAUGACAUUUUGCCAUCUCUAAGAAUUAGCUAUGAUUACCUUCCUUUCCAUCUGAAAAAAUGCUUCCCAUAUUUUGCCUUGUUCCCUGAAGAUCAUAGGUUUAAGAACAUAGAGAUUACAUAUUUUUGGAUUGCAAUAGGAAUCAUAGACAAAGAUGAGAAUUACAUGGACGAACUAGUCGAUAAUGGUUUUCUUGUGAAGGUGAAUGAUGAUAGAGAGGGUGAAUACUAUGUUUUGCAUGACCUAUUGCAUGAACUAGCACGAAAUAUUUCAUUAAAAGAAUGCCUCAAUAUAUAUAGCAGGGCAAGUUUUAGAGUUGAUUCCAUCCCAAAAUCUAUUCGUCACUUGUCCAUCACCAUGAAAAACAAAUAUGAUGGGAACUUCACAGAAGAAAUUAUAAAAUUUAAGAGAAAGGUAGACUUUGUAAAUUUGCGGACUUUGAUGAUUUUUAGAGGACAUGCUGGAACUAUUGAUGAUAUUUUGAAAGAUAUUUUUAAGGACAUAAAAGGUCUUCGUGUCUUAUAUAUAGAAGUCGAGUCCCCGGAAUAUUUACCACACAACCUUUCAAAUUUCAUCCACCUCCAAUACCUAAAAAUUACUAGAUAUAACACUAGCUCACAGCUGACUUUACCUAGCAUGUUAUCCAGAUUUUAUCACUUGAAAUUUUUGGACCUAAGUAGUUGGUAUGGUAGUGAUAAAUUGCCUAAGGACAUUAGCCACCUUAUCAAUUUAUGCCAUCUAUUGGUAACAAAUGAACUCGAUUCUAAUAUUCCCGAGGUUGGAAAGAUGAAGUCUUUAAAAGGGCUUACAAAAUUCCAUGUCAAGAAAGAGAGUGUUGGGUUUGAAUUGAGUGAGUUGGAGGAGUUAACCGAGCUUGGAGGAGAACUCAGUAUAUAUAAUCUUAGAAAUGUGGCAACCAAAGAAGAGGCUACCAAAGCCAAACUAGUGUCAAAAGGCGGUUUGAAAAAGUUGGAGUUACAUUGGGGCACAGAAUACAAUUGGGGGGAACCUGAAGUCCAUGAUGAUAGUCCAGAAUUAUCACAUGUUAUUGAAGGUUUCAAACCACACCCUGAACUUCAAUCACUCGUCAUUAAAAAUCACGGUGGUUCAACCGGUCCUAGUUGGUUGUGUGGUUCCAUUAGUGUACUAAUGCUGACCGCUCUCCACCUGGAGGGUGUCUGUUGGACAAUUCUUCCACCCCUUGGGCAGUUGUUGCAUCUCACAUCGCUCAAGUUGAUAAAAAUUCCUGGAUUUGGUCAGAUCAGACCUGGCUUUGGCGGUGUUACAGAUAGAAGUUUUUUGCAGUUGAAGGAGGUUGUCCUUGGUCAGUUGCCAGAAUUUACAGAGUGGGUUGGGUCGUCUAAUGCCCAUUGCUUUUCAAGGCUUGAAUACCUCAGUUGCACGCAAUGCCCCAAUCUUCAUGAGUUAUACUUCAUGCAGGAGGGCUCUGGUUCUCAUACCAGUCUAUUGACACUAAUGAUUCGGGACUGCCCUAAGUUGGUCCAGCCUCCCAUGCCUCGGACUUCCACGGUAUCUCAUAUUGAUGUGUCUGCUGGUUCUUCGGGCAGCAUGGAUCAUCCUGAACGAGAUUUGUCUUUGACGGGGUAUAGCGGUGGAUUUCAAGCUGGAUCAAAAUUCACAUGGGCGCAACUCCCAAAGCUAACCUCCCUAAGGACACUUUGGAUUACAGAAGAUCCAAGCUUUACGUCAAUUACCCUGCUCUCCAACCUCACAUCUCUCACUGAUCUAAACCUAACGAAUUGCGAGAAUUUGACGGUGGAUGGGUUUAAUCCACUCAUUGCAGCUGUCAACCUCGAGCUACUCAGGGUCCGCAACGGUGGAGAUCGCCCUCGCUCUGUAGCCGCGGAUCUGCUCUCCGAGUUGGUGGUGGCAAGCAUGACCAAACAAUUGUUGCCUUCUGCGGGCUGCUUUCGACUGGGGACGCUUGACGUGGAUAACAUCUCAUCAGUGCUUGUUACUCCCGUAUGCACUCUCCUCGCCAAUACCCUCCACACAUUAUAUAUCAGCUGUGAUAAGCGGGCGGAGAGCUUUACGGAAGAGGAAGAGAAUGCGCUUCAGCUCCUCACCUCCCUCCGAUUCCUAACAUUCUGGCGUUGCCCGAGGCUGCGAUCGCUCCCUCGGCGGUUACACAGGCUUUCUUCGCUCCGGUACCUACAUGUCGGCUAUUGUCCUGAAAUCCGAUCACUGCCCAAGGAGGGGCUCCCCACUUCUAUGGGGAUGCUAACAGUAACCAGGUGCGCUCCCGAGCUGCAUGAGCAAUUCAAGGAAUUACAAGGAACAAACCCACGUUUAAACGUGACGUCAAAUUUGUAACCCGAGCUACGUUCAACUUGCUAGCUGCAUGCAACUUGUGAUUCUUUCAGCCUAGGUACGCCUCGUAGACAUGCAUCACUAUGUAUCUGGCUGCAACAAUUCAAGUCAGAUGCAUGCGCACUUGAGUACCGAAGUAACAAAACCAAGAUCAGGAAGUACAAGACCAAUGCCCUGCUUGGCUGAAGCAGCACACCUAUUAUGGUUUUGCAUUGUAAAUUCAACACAUGAGAUGAAUGGAACAUGCAACACCAGGUGCAACCACCUAUGGAUUCAGCAAUUUGUAAGAUUAACAUGCGUAAUAUUGGAUGGAACAGGGUACUGUCAGUACCUUUUAACAAGCCGGCAACAAGAUAUUCAGGAUAACCGUUUGAAGCUUACAACGGCAUCAUGUUUCUCGUAAAUGCUUCUAGUAAGCUUUUGUUUCACGAGAUUAACAAUUCAGAUGGAAGAGCAAUUUACCGUUACACACAAUAUUGCAACAGGUUGAUCAUUUGCUCACCAGCUCCCUACUACACCUUGAUAAGAUUGCAUAUAUGAUGAUAUAUGUUUCAUUGGGCUCAUCCUUCAUAGCUUCGUUUCCCGUCUACACCUAUUGAUCGACUCAAAAACUAUUACAGACGAAGAUGAAUUUUGCAGUUGGCAAUCUGGACUUCACUGUUCCAUGUAAACAGUGGAACCAUAGCGUUAACAGAACAACCGAAGCUUCUGUUUUUUAUCUCAGUGCGGUGUUUCUUUCUCUUUACAUUAUGCAAGUUCCCUUUACCUUGCUCAAUAGAUUGCCUGACCUUAGAUUCAGUAUUUGGAUUCUGCUGACAAUUUACAGCCACCGGUGAAUUCAGAAGUUGGUUGUUGGUCCGGACAAUAAAAGCAACAAGUGUGCCUCUGUCUGACGGAGUGCUCCGCUGUUCUUUUUUUUUUACAAGAAAAGGGCUCUUGCCCCGGUUCCAUUUCCAUCAGAAAAUGAAACCACAGUACAUGUAUCACCUAGAAGCAAAGACUGUGAAACUGGAACCUUAACCGAGAGGACUCCUUCCAACUAACAGCUGGUGUAUUUUAUUUUGUAAUGCUCUUGGUCGUCAGUUCAUGGUACCACCAGCUGCCAACCGCAUCUUGUGCAGAUUGCAUAUACGAACCAUGACAGCCAACCGUCAGUUUUGCCGUUGGAAUUCAGAACGCUGUCCCGAAUUAGCCGCACAGUUUUGCAUAGACCAUCUAUCAGAAAAGGCUAUUCACUAAUGCGUGCGUUGGCUUCCCAGUGACUGCACAUCCUGUGUUUCAGUUUCACAAUGCUAACAAUUUAGGUGGAGAGCAUCUCAUCUUCUGGUUGAUUAUUGGCUCACACAGUUCAUGCUACCCCGAACAGCCGACUACAUCCUCAUCCUGUGCGGUCUUGAUAUAUGGUGAUGUUUCACUGUCAACCUUCAGAGUAUCAGUUCCAAUGUAGCAGGUUCACCUGGUGACCAACGACUGAAAAACAAUUCACAUCCAACAGUGAAUUUUUACCGUUGGUUGGUAUUUAGAAGCAACCACGUGGCAGUGAGCCUCUGUCAUGGUGUCUUGAUGGAGAUCUUCGCAGUUGUGCAUAAUCGACCAUUUCAGAGGCCUGCUCCCCCUCCCAGUCGACGAGCUACAAAUCCUGAUGAUUCAAGACAGGAUAGCAGUUCAGUGCCUCGUCCACUAGCUCCUGCCCCGGCGUCAUCUCCUCUGCUCUGGGCUCUGGCCACAUUUGGCGCUGAGGCCGCACACGUUCUCUAUCUUCCUCCUCCUCCUCCAAUUCUGUUAUCCUCCCUCUUUGUUAGUGUACAAAGUUACAUAUGGAGUUUGUUACCUUGUGAAGCCCCACCUUGCUCUUUCAUAAAUGCCUAUCUACGGUCCUCCUUGGCUCCUCCUCCCACCGCCCAUGCAUCACCCCAGCCCAGAUCGACCCACGGGAUCAGCAUGGCCACAAAUUGGAAAGAUGAUGCAGGUUUCUGCAGUGUCGAUCAGUAGUAAUACCGACUCUUCCCUACUUUUGUUUGUUGUUCAUACAUGUAAUUACCACUUCAACAAAGUGCACGUAUUUAUUUGUAGGAUUGUGUUUCGUGUAUGCAUGAUAAAGCAUAAUUUCUGAAAACUGUAAUGUUGAGUGUGCCUGACUGAGAAAAGAAAAUAACAUUUGGCAUAA